GACAACCUGGUUGAUCCUGCCAGUAGUCAUAUGCUUGUCUCAAAGAUUAAGCCAUGCAUGUCUCAGUACAAGCCAAAUUAAGGUGAAACCGCGAAAGGCUCAUUAAAUCAGUUAUGGUUCCUUAGAUCGUACCAACAUUUACUUGGAUAACUGUGGUAAUUCUAGAGCUAAUACAUGCAAACAGAGCUUCGACCGGAGACGGAAGAGGCGCUUUUAUUAGAUCAAAACCAAUCGGCGGCGGGUUCGCUUGCGGGCUCGUCGUCGUUUUCACUGACGAAUCUGAAUAACUUUCUGCUGAUCGCACGGUCUCGCACCGGCGACGCAUCUUUCAAAUGUCUGCCUUAUCAACUGUCGAUGGUAGGUUCUGUGCCUACCAUGGUUGUAACGGGUAACGGGGAAUCAGGGUUCGAUUCCGGAGAGGGAGCCUGAGAAACGGCUACCACAUCCAAGGAAGGCAGCAGGCGCGCAAAUUACCCACUCCCGGCACGGGGAGGUAGUGACGAAAAAUAACGAUACGGGACUCAUCCGAGGCCCCGUAAUCGGAAUGAGAACAAUUUAAAUCCUUUAACGAGGAUCAAUUGGAGGGCAAGUCUGGUGCCAGCAGCCGCGGUAAUUCCAGCUCCAAUAGCGUAUAUUAAAGUUGUUGCGGUUAAAAAGCUCGUAGUCGAAUCUGUGUCCCGCGCCGCCGGUUCGUCGCUCGCGGCGUUUAACUGGCGUGUCCGCGGGACGUCCUGCCGGUGGGCUUAGCCUUUUCAUUAAGGCGGCCCAAUCUUAAUCCCGCCGCGGUGCUCUUCACCGAGUGUCGAGGCGGGCCGGCACGUUUACUUUGAACAAAUUAGAGUGCUUAAAGCAGGCUAAAACUUCGCCUGAAUACUUCGUGCAUGGAAUAAUGGAAUAGGACCUCGGUUCUAUUUUGUUGGUUUUCGGAACCCCGAGGUAAUGAUUAAUAGGAACGGAUGGGGGCAUUCGUAUUGCGACGUUAGAGGUGAAAUUCUUGGAUCGUCGCAAGACGGACAGAAGCGAAAGCAUUUGCCAAAAACGUUUUCAUUGAUCAAGAACGAAAGUUUGAGGUUCGAAGGCGAUCAGAUACCGCCCUAGUUCUAACCAUAAACUAUGCCAGCUAGCGAUCCGCCGANGUUACUNCNAUGACUCGGCGGGCAGCUUCCGGGAAACCAAAGCUUUNGGGUUCCGGGGGAAGUAUGGUUGCAAAGCUGAAACUUAAAGGAAUUGACGGAAGGGCACCACCAGGAGUGGAGCCUGCGGCUUAAUUUGACUCAACACGGGAAACCUCACCAGGCCCGGACACCGGAAGGAUUGACAGAUUGAGAGCUCUUUCUUGAUUCGGUGGGUGGUGGUGCAUGGCCGUUCUUAGUUGGUGGAGCGAUUUGUCUGGUUAAUUCCGAUAACGAACGAGACUCA
rnacentral:rRNA from 1 species